UGACUUCAAUAGGAGUAGGAUG
rnacentral:miRNA from 1 species